CGAACCCGCGCGGGAGAGUCCGGACUGCCCUCGUGGCACAGGCCGGCGCCGAAGGAGCAAGUCCUCCCCGGAAUCUCUCAGGCACCCCUACCGCCCGGGCGAG
rnacentral:ncRNA from 2 species